rnacentral:rRNA from 1 species
ACCUGAUUGAUCUUGUCAGUCAUAUAUGCUACACUUAAAGAUUAAAGCCAUGCAAGUCUUAGGAUAGAUCAAUAGAAAAACGAACCUGCGGAUAGCUCAUUAAAACAGUCUUAAUCUUAUCGAUGAUGAAGGAAGCAUCCUCUGUGGAUGCUGAAGUGGAUACCAAAUGUAAUUCAUUUGAUAAUACAUGCGACGUGGAAUGACAGUUCAGGACUUGAGAAUGCGACUGUCAGUAUUUAUUUUUGAUGCGGAUGAUUCACCCAGCUUUUAUGAAGUUGCACUGGAACUAAUAGGAUAACCUUUAAAUUAACAGAUCUAUGAGAUCAGACGAAAAGACGAACCGAAAGAAAGGCUGAUCCAUCAAAUCAUUCGUGGUAUCUUUGACCACGAAGUUGAUCACGGAUAACGAGAGAUCAGGGUUUGAUUUCGGAGAGAAAGCAUGAGAGUCCGGAAAUUACUCAAUAUCAAUUCGAUGAAGUAGUGACGAGAAAUAUCAGAAUAGGAAAUUUUAUUUGCUGUGUUUGGAAUGAGUACAAUUUAAAACCAUUAACGAGGAACUAUUAGAGGGCAAGUCUGGUGCCAGCAUCCGCGGUAAUUCCAGCUCUAAGAGCGUAUUUGAAAAUUGUUGCAGUUAAAAAGCCCGUAGUUGAAACUAGACUUAUUUUGAUGUUCGUGGAGGAUUCAUUCAAUACGGUUUAAUGGAAGAAUAGUCAAAAAUCUAACAUAUUAUUUGAAUGAUUGGUUGUUUUAGAACAAAAUUCGAAGGAUGAAAGGAAUGAAAAUGAACUAUGAUGUACACUCGAUUGAAAAAGAUUUGGACCUGUAAAAAAGGAAAGGAAGAAAAUCAAAAGACCAUAAUUAUAGGCCGGAUAAAGAAUUCAGGCUUUAUUGCGGUGUGUUUAGAAAAGUUCGCUUUGAACAAAUUAGAAUGCUCAGAAUAGGCUUAUGCCGGAAUACAUUAGCAUGGUACGACGAAAUUGAUUGAUAUAUUUUUGUGUGGAGGUCAAAGAUUGACUGAGAUGAUUGAAAAUUAAUUAGUAUGAAACUGAUGUUUGACUUUGAAAUCAUUUAGAUUUAGACUGGAAUAUAGCUUUAAUGUUUAAUAGGGGUAAAUGGCGUGAUUGUUAUUGAAGGGGUAGAGGUGAAAUUCUAUGAUCCUUUCAAGAACCACUACUGCGAAGGCAUUUUACGAAGAUGCUUUCAUUAAUCAAGGACGAAGGUUAUGGGCGCGAAGAUGAUUAGAUACCGUUGUAGUCAUAACAGUAAACGAU